rnacentral:lncRNA from 1 species
UUAGAUUUCUCAUAGAGAACUCUUGGUUCUUUGAGAAGAUGUUUGUGGUUGAAUCCCCCAAGAAUCUAUAGAACCCAGUUUGAGAAAAGACAACUUAGAAGAAUGUAAGACUUCAAGGAAAGUGCUUAACAAAUAAAGAUUUAAGUGAAGAAAAAUAGUAUAGCAUAUAUGAAUGUUUGGUUGGCUAAUUAACUUAUUAACCUAUUAUUAUGGCAAAAGACCAUUGAGAUUUUGUUAAAUAGGCUUUCUUAUCUGAAACAUAAAUUCCAAUCAAAGGAAUUUGUGGCUAUUUAUUCCUGCAUUGUCCUUAAUAGGACACAGUGUUAUUGAUAGGAAACAGUGUUAUUCUCUUUAAGAUGAUAAGAAAAGUCAGGGUCAACAUUGCUAGACAGGUAGCUAUAGUUUGUAUGGGAAACAAAAGGAUUGAGAAGACAUUCUAGACUUUGAGGCUUGUGGAAAGAGAGAUGAGGGAAACCAAAGCUUUCAAGGCAGAAAAGCAGACAAAGAUAUAAAGAAUACUCUUCCAUAUUUUCAGACAACUAGUCUUUGAUGCAAUAUUUCAUGCCUUGCUUACAUUUCAGUUGGUAAAAACCGUAUAUAUAUUUACCCUCAACACUAGUGAAGAAUAUGUUGUUUUCUUAAUAACUUGCUCUAGUGCAAUUGCCCUACCAUCUUAACAUUAUUCUGUAUUCAUCUGACUGUACUACUUGAAAAGAAUACACAAUCAGAAUCAAGCAUUAAGAAGUACUGCAAAUUGACAUAUUUCAUAGACUAUAUGUAAAUUGAAAUUCCCUAAGAUCACCUGCUUGUUUUCCCAAAAAGUCAUUUCAAUGGCAAUCCCCAAAGUCUAGGAAAUUACUCAGUCUCAAAGAAUUCAGCCACUACUUCUGUGUCUCUUAAAUAGUCCCUGAAUUUGGGAUCUUGAGGAUCAGGGAGUGUCACACACAUAACCAGAAUUUCUGCAGGUGUCUUUAACUUGCUGAUUUGACUGUUUGCAUGUUUUACAUUUGUUUAAGAAAGCCCAGCUUUGCACUUAUAAUAGUCUAUAAUUAUCCCUACAAAUCCAACACUCUCAUUUCUCAGAUGUCCAGGUUACAUAACUUUGAUUCCAAUGUACCCUUUUUAAGAAAAAUCAGUAUUGCUUA